ensembl:misc_RNA
CAGCAAGGGCAGAAGCAGUGCAAACUUUCCCUGCACUGCCCCACCAAUCUGCC